rnacentral:lncRNA from 1 species
AUGGGUGAGGGCUGUGACUCGCCAAGUCCCUGGGGCAGCCCCUGUCCCUGUCUGAACCUGCCAGCCUUUGCCCCCACCCCCACCCCCACGGGGGGAAUCCCGGUGGCCGGUGAGGAAGCCACAGGGCGUGGGCUCAGUGCCCAGGCAGGAACCACAGGGCCCCCCGGGGAAACCACAUCACGGCCACCGCGGCCUCCACCGCCCCACAUUGAUUUCCGCUGCCUCCCCCCGCGGUUGGGGGUGGGGGCAGGGUCUCUCAGUCACACUGGCUGCGGCCUGUCCCGGGUGGCCGCUCCCUGUGCAGCGGCGGCUCCGCUCUCGGAAGCCACCGGCGCUGCCCAGCGCCACCACUGUGACCUGCGGCUCAGCACCUCACCCCGCUGUGGGGGCCCCAGCGCCCCUCCCAGGGCCUCCGCCUCGUCCCACCCCCAGGCUCUUGCACCGCUGUUCCUCCAGGGGGCGCCCCGGACCACUCCUCCCUCAGGCUCCCAGCGGCUCCCCACGCCCCCGCCUCAGGGCACGGCGGAGGCCCCCUGGGCGCCCUUUCCCCUUUCGCGGGGCCCAGGUAGUGAGGCGCUACGCCCACGGCACGGGGAUCUGGCUGGCACACUGCCCAGAAGUGGAAAGCAGCAGCCCCCAGGUACCACCGCUCAGCGCCCACCCCCACCUCAUUUUCCUGGGCGUUGCAACUCCUUGCUCCUGAGUGCUGACAACACAAAACGCAGAACUGACUGAAUAAAACGGGAGAGCGAACACUGGGAACGCGUGGGGCCAUCUGGUGAACUUUUCUUUCCUGUUUCUAUCUACUGAGAGCGCACAAGGGGGCUGCACAAACUCGUCGAAAAAUAGAAUGAAAGGUGAAAGUGCUUUGGUGUGAAAGAAUGGAAAGAUGUGAAUGAUUUUUGCCACUACCAAUUUCCACGAGCUUUUUGCAGUUCCCUCCUAGCAGGUAUUUGGAAAACCCUCCUCUGCCCUUUGCUUGAGUCCCGGCUGUCCCACGUCUGAUCCAGCUCUCUGCUGUGGCCUGGGAAAGCAGUGGAGGAUGGCCCAAGUCCUUGGGCCUCUGCACCCAUGUAGGAGACCCGGGAGAAGCUCCUGGCUCCUGGCUCCUGGCUUUGGAUCGGUGCAGCUCCAGCCUUUGGGGCCAUUUGGGGAGUGAACCAGCAGAUGGAAGACCUCUCUCUGUCACCCCCUCUCUGUAACUCUGCCUCUCGAAUACAUAAAUAAAUCUAAAAGAGUAAAAAAGGAGUUGCA